GUUUCUGUAGUGUAGUGGUUAUCACAUUCGCCUCACACACGAUAGGUUCUCAUUUUGAUACCACGUGGAAACA